rnacentral:lncRNA from 1 species
AAUUUUAUUUCCAAAGAGUAUUUUUUAGCACACGAGUUUUGCUAAAAAGCAGGGAGGAGGGAUAUACGUUGAUGAUCAAAAUUGGCACAACUGGAAAAACCUGCUUGUCUGUUUUGGGUGACUUUAUCAAAAUGCAAAUUGGACAAACAUGUCAGAAAGCAUUGCAAAACUAGCUAGACCGGUUUUAAUUAUGUAAUCCGAGUAGGAAUUGUAUUUUGAUAUAAAAUUUGUAAGUAUUUCGACUCCUAACCGGGCAAGAUCUCUCCACCCUAUAAAUAUAAAAGAUCACGACCAACCGAGGGCAUGCAAUGAAUCAAUCGAUCUAUAUUUUUAAUCUUUUUGCUCUAUUUUCUCUUUAC